ACAACAUUUAGAACAUCCGUCUACUGAGCAAUAACACCCACUCGGUUGAAGAUCUUCCUUUCUUAGU
rnacentral:pre_miRNA from 1 species